GUGUGUGUGUGUAUGUGUAUGUGUGUAUAUAUAUAUACACACACACGUGUAUAUAUAUAUAUAUAUAUAUACACACACACACACACAC
rnacentral:miRNA from 1 species